UACGUAGGCAGCGAGCGUUGUUCGGAAUUACUGGGCGUAAAGAGUGUGUAGGCGGUGCUCUAAGUUCGGUGUGAAAUCUCCCGGCUCAACUGGGAGGGUGCGCCGAAAACUGGAAUGCUUGAACGUGGGAGAGGAAAGCGGAAUUCCUGGUGUAGCGGUGAAAUGCGUAGAUAUCAGGAGGAACACCUGCGGUGUAGACGGCUUUCUGGACCAUUGUUGACGCUGAGACACGAAAGCGUGGGUAGCAAACAGG
rnacentral:rRNA from 1 species